GGCUGGUCUGAAGGUAGUGAGUUAUCUCAAUUGAUUGUUCACAGUCAGUUACAGAUGGAACUCCUCGUUCCACUCUUCUCCCCCUUCUCACUACUGCACUUGACUAGAAAA
rnacentral:Y_RNA from 1 species